rnacentral:rRNA from 1 species
GCAUGCAAGUCGAACGAAUCCCAUCUGGGUAACCGGGUGGGGGAAGUGGCGAAAGGGGCAGUAAGGCAUGGGUAACCUACCCCGGGGACUGGGAUAGCCUUUCUAACGAAAGGGUAAUACCGGGCGAUGCAAGCGAAGGGCAUCCUUUGCUUAUGAGAUGAAUUUCGCCUCGGGAGGGGCUCAUGUAGUAUUAGCUAGUUGGUGAGGUAACGGCUCACCAAGGCGAAGAUGCUUAGCGGGUGUGAGAGCACGACCCGCGCCACUGGCACUGAGACACUGGCCAGACUCCUACGGGAGGCUGCAGUCGAGGAUCUUCGGCAAUGGGCGCAAGCCUGACCGAACGACGCCGCGUGUGCGAUGAAGGCCUUCGGGUUGUAAAGCACUUUAGUGGGGGAGAAAAGCCGAAAGGUUUGAUCUAUCCCAAGAAUAAGCACGGGCUAAGUUCGUGCCAGCAGCCGCGGUAAGACGAACCGUGCGAACGUUGUUCGGAAUCACUGGGCUUAAAGGGCGCGUAGGCGGCUUGCCAAGUCAGGGGUGAAAUCCUUCGGCUCAACCGGAGAAGUGCCUUUGAUACUGGCGAGCUUGA